rnacentral:lncRNA from 1 species
UUAUAACGAAAUCAUCCAAUCUACUCCACUCCUACAUUUUAUUAAAUACUAAUUAGCCUCCAAUCUGUUAACUUAUCAACGUUUGUAUGCAUGCGCAUUGUAUGAAAAAAAAUGUCUUGAGACGUUAGUUAUUGGGCUUAUUUGCUGAAUAGCCAAAAAAAAAAGUGAAAUUAGAUUUUUAAAGAGAGAGUAGAGAGAGAUAGGGAAAGAAAGUAGGAGAGGGGGUGUUUUUAGUUAGUUAGUG